rnacentral:lncRNA from 10 species
UCUUAGUGAUGCAUCUUAGAUUGGAUUAAAUAUGUUAAUAGUGAACACUUUUUAUGAGCCAGAUACUGGGCUAAGCUGCAUAAAUACCUGAUUUCAUUGAAUUUUCAUGAUAUCUCUGUAAGGUAGGUGCUAUGAUAAGCCUCAUUUUACACCUUGAGUAAACAGACUCAGGGAGGUGAAGCAACUUGCCCAAGAUAACAAAGCAGGCCGGGCGCAGUGGUUCACGCCUGUAAUCCCAGCCCUUUGGGAGACUGACGUGAAAGGAUCACUUGAGCUCAGGAGUUUGAGACCAGCCUGGGCAACAUAGUGAGAUCUCUUCUUAAUAUAAAAAAAAUUGCUUUUAACUUUUUAAAAAAAGAUAGCAAUGCAAGUGAUGGCAAAUCAAGUCUGUUCACUCUGGACCCCCAGCCUAAGUCUAAAAUGUGGUUAGAGCUCAAGG